AAACACGAGACAAUCGUACACGAUUGUGAGACUUCCUACUCGUUUACCACCUUAGACAUAGAUAAUACCAUAGAUAACCUAUGAUUAUUGUGCUAUGAUUGUGAGAGGUUAGAACACAAGCAGAAGUUCAUUUAAAUGCCUCUAAUUUUGAUAACAGGGAUUCCAUCCAGCGGGAAAUCUACACGGGCGUUACAAAUAAAAUCAUUCUUUGAAGACGUACAUGAAAAAACUGUUUUUCUUGUUAACGAAAACGGCAUUAUUGCUGCUAAUGGGACCGAGAAAAAUGUUUUAUUUUUAGAUGCUACGAAAGAGAAACAGAUUCGUGGUCUUGUCAUGUCUGAAGCUCAAAGAUUAAUUAACAGAGAAGAUGUUGUUAUAAUUGAUGCUGGAAAUUACAUCAAAGGUUAUCGCUAUGAGUUGUACUGCAUGUCCAAAGCAAACAAGACCACUCAGUGUACAGUUCAUUGCGAAGUUCCAUUGAAUACAGCCUGGGAAUGGAACAGUAUGAGAGAAAAAGAGGAUGAUCGCUAUACUCAGGAGACAUUUGAUGCUCUGACAAUGCGCUUUGAGCCACCAGACAGUAGGAACCGGUGGGAUUCCCCUCUUUUCACUGUCCUGCCUGGAGACAAAGUUCCAACUGAUGACAUGUAUGGUGUUUUGUUUGAGAGAAAUGCUCCUCCACCCAAUCAAUCAACGCAGUGUGCCCCACUAUCAUCAACAAACUUCCUAUAUGAGAUGGACAAGAUAACACUGGAUGUUGUCUCAGCCAUUUUGUCAGCACAGAAGUUGGGGUUGGAGGGUGAAGUUAAAAUUCCAGGCUACAAGGACUGUGUGCUCUUGACUAAUGGUGCCAAUAUGACUGCAGCUCAACUGACUCGACUGCGAAGACAGUUUCUUGCUUACACAAAACUGCACCCAACUAAUGACAUCAGCAAAAUUGGCUCACUAUUUGUGCAAUUCCUUAACACAAGUCUGAGGUGAAAUGUACAAGAUGAUGCCCUUCUAACAUGAACAGUUAAGAAUGAAGACAGGCAAUUCAUUCAUUUGUAUACUUAUUUGCCUGCUUUCACCAGGAAAUAGUCAUUGUAAUGAGUUAAGGAGUUCAACAAAGAAUUAGAAAAGAAUGCAAAUCAUAAAUAGCAAACAUCUGAAGGUGUUAAGUCCAAGCAGUAUCAAAUACAAGAACAGCACAAAGUGUGAUGAAACAGAAGAAAAAGUACCAGGAUUUACAUAUGAAACGUAAGGGAAUCUUAAAAUCAACAAAGGAGUUUGUGUCCGUGGAAGACUGUUUAUCAUAGGAAAUGAACAUACAUACAAUGAAAAUUUUCAAAAAGAAAUAUAAGACCUAUGGUACAGGUUCAGAAGUAGCUCAGGACAAGUUUGUGAGUGUGAAAUAAUACUUUCUGACAGUGUGUCUACAAAGCAAGUUCAUAGUAAAGACAAAUCAAAGUGACAAUCAUCUCCAAAAACAAAAGUGUCAACUGCAGAGUAAUUCCACAGGAUGUCAGAAGCAAAUAUGAUUGUCCUUUGAAACUUGUGGAGAAAGGGCUGGUAUUAAACAACACGCUGAAAGCUUUCCAAAGCAUUUCAGUCAUUACUCAAGACAUCACAUAAAGAUAAUGUACCUCCCUCAAAUCUAAAUAUGAAGAAAAUGUAUUAUCUGUAUGCCAAGAAUGUAAGUGAAACAGAAAACCAGUUUCCUGAAAAAUACAUUGUGAAGUGUUUUAGAAAGGAUAUAAAUUAUAACAUAUACAGUGAGUGUCUAACAAACUCCAGACCUGACAUUGACAGCUGUGGACCAUGAAUGAAACUAUCAGAGACUGCAAGAAUGAUGUUGGCUACUGUUACAAGAAUAUAGACUGUGCAAGGCAAAAGUAUGGUUGGAUCCAGAUAAACUGGAUGAGAUAGGAAAAAGCAUUUGUUUUGUGUUUCAAGUAUAGCAUAGUAGAGAAUGAACCAUUCCACACACUCCAAAUCAAUGGUAGAAAUCCCUGCAACCUGCUUUAUGUCAGUUCCUGUAUGUCCUAAGAAGAGAUACCUAUUGAGCCAUCUGCCUUUAUCUGAUGUAUUAUAUAGCAUGCAUUCUUUCAAAUUUUGACCUAAGUGAGUUCACAUAUGCAGGAUGAUAUUGACACAGAAGAGGCAUAGUACAGUGCAGGCAGUAUGGUUCAAACAUCAUCCCACCAUUAUUUGCCACUUACACUACUGAAUAUAAUCACUUUAUCCAGUGUUAAUUUUAUGACAAACAGAUGCAGUUGUUAUACUGUAGAAGGUGAAUGUAUGAAUUUGUGAUUGCCGAUGUAUUUUACAAAGAAGCAUCAUGAUGAAAUAAGCACUCCUUUUGUUGAAA